GGGACAGGGUGGAAGCUAAAUGGCUGCUCUAAAACGCCUUGGUGUAAACAACCCGGGGAAGGACUUCCUUGAACUGCCAGUUACCUGAGUGCGAUCCAUCUUACUAAAGCGUCUGCCCCAAGAGGGGUGUUAUCGCCAGGAAAGAAAACAAAUAAAAGACACCCAGCAUGUUGCAGCGCAGGCACGGGCUGGGGAAUGCUGUCCCCUGGAGGGGGUGAGGGAUCCUCAGCAAGGAGUUAUGGAUCACACAUUUAGGAAGAGGCUGUGCUACUAGCCAGAAAAUUUUCUUCCUAAUGGAAGCCCAGCUAACCACAGGAUCUGCUGCAGACCACAGACCAGCCAAGCUAUACUAAAGACGGCCCACUAGGUUGGAAUGCAGACCACAGUUUGGAAACCACUGGCUUAUGAAAUAAACGAGACAAUAUUUCAA